rnacentral:rRNA from 1 species
ACGGAGGGUGCGAGCGUUAAUCGGAAUCACUGGGCGUAAAGCGCACGUAGGCGAUGUCGUAAGUCGGAUGUGAAAGCCCUCGGCUCAACCGGGGUACUGCAUUCGAUACUGCGACGAUUGAGUGCCGGAGAGGGCGGCGGAAUUACAGGUGUCGAAUAGACAUCCGGACAUAUAGGGAGGGACACCAGUGCCGAAGGCGGCUGCCUGCCCGGCUACUGACGCUGAGGGGCGUAAGCGCAGUGAAAAAACAG